rnacentral:rRNA from 1 species
AGUGAACGCUGGCGGUAGGCCUAACACAUGCAAGUCGAACGGCAGCACAGUAAGAGCUUGCUCUUACGGGUGGCGAGUGGCGGACGGGUGAGGAAUACAUCGGAAUCUACUUUUUCGUGGGGGAUAACGUAGGGAAACUUACGCUAAUACCGCAUACGACCUACGGGUGAAAGCAGGGGAUCUUCGGACCUUGCGCGAUUGAAUGAGCCGAUGUCGGAUUAGCUAGUUGGCGGGGUAAAGGCCCACCAAGGCGACGAUCCGUAGCUGGUCUGAGAGGAUGAUCAGCCACACUGGAACUGAGACACGGCCCAGACUCCUACGGGAGGCAGCAGUGGGGAAUAUUGGACAAUGGGCGCAAGCCGGAUCCAGCCAUACCGCGUGGGUGAAGAAGGCCUUCGGGUUGGAGAGCCCUUUUGUUGGGAAAGAAAAGCAGCAGGUUAAUACCCCGCUGUUCUGACGGUACCCAAAGAAUAAGCACCGGCUAACUUCGUG